rnacentral:rRNA from 1 species
UACGUAGGGGCCUAGCGUUGUCCGGAAUUAUUGGGCGUAAAGAGCGCGCAGGCGGUCGUUCAAGUCGAGUGUGAAAGCCCCCGGCUCAACUGGGGAGGGUCACUCGAUACUGAUCGACUUGAAGGCGGGAGAGGGAAGCGGAAUUCCCGGUGUAGUGGUGAAAUGCGUAGAUAUCGGGAGGAACACCAGUGGCGAAGGCGGCUUUCUGGCCC